rnacentral:rRNA from 1 species
UGGGGAAUUGUUCGCAAUGGGCGCAAGCCUGACGACGCAACGCCGCGUGGAGGAUGAAGAUUUUCGGAUCGUAAACUCCUUUCGAUCGGGACGAAUCGGCCGCGACCCAACACGUCGUGGCACUGACGGUACCGAGAGAAGAAGCCCCGGCUAACUCCGUGCCAGCAGCCGCGGUAAUACGGGGGGGCAAGCGUUGUUCGGAAUUACUGGGCGUAAAGGGCGCGUAGGCGGCCUGCUAAGUCGGAUGUGAAAUCCCUCGGCUCAACCGGGGAACUGCAUCCGAGACUGGCGGGCUCGAAUCCGGGAGAGGGAUGUGGAAUUCCAGGUGUAGCGGUGAAAUGCGUAGAUAUCUGGAGGAACACCGGUGGCGAAGGCGGCAUCCUGGACCGGCAUUGACGCUGAGGCGCGAAAGCCAGGGGGAGCGAAACGGGAUUAGGAUACCCCGGGUAGUCCCUGGCCCUAAACGAUGAGUGCUUGGUGUGGCGGGUAUCGGAUCCCUGCCGUGCCGAAGCUAACG